rnacentral:rRNA from 1 species
AUUGAACGCUGGCGGCAUGCUUUACACAUGCAAGUCGAACGGUAACAGGCCUUCGGGCGCUGACGAGUGGCGAACGGGUGAGUAAUGCAUCGGAACGUGCCCAGUCGUGGGGGAUAACUAUCCGAAAGGAUAGCUAAUACCGCAUACGAUCUGCGGAUGAAAGCGGGGGACCUUCGGGCCUCGCGCGAUUGGAGCGGCCGAUGUCAGAUUAGGUAGUUGGUGGGGUAAAGGCGCACCAAGCCAACGAUCUGUAGCUGGUCUGAAAGGACGACCAGACACACUGAGACUGAGACACGGACCAGACUCCUACGGGAGGCAACAGUGGGGAAUUUGGGACAAUGGGCGCAAGCCUGAUCCAGCAAUGCGGCGUGCAGGAAGAAGGCCUUCGGGUUGUAAACUGCUUUUGUACGGAGCGAAACGGCUCUGGUUAAUACCCGGGGCUAAUGACGGUACCGUAAGAAUAAGCACCGGCUAACUACGUGCCAGCCGCCGCCGUAAAAC